AUGAUAGUAAGAGGAGAGACUGCGAUUACGUGGCGCCGAAGGAGCAAGCAACUGUGAAACUCUCAGGCAAAAAGACUCUUGCUGGACG
rnacentral:ncRNA from 2 species